AGAGUUUGAUCAUGGCUCAGGAUAAACGCUGGCGGCGUGCCUAAAACAUGCAAGUCGAACGCACCCUUCGGGGUGAGUGGCGGACGGCUGAGUAACACGUGGGUGACCUGCCCUCGAGCGGGGGAUAACUGCCCGAAAGGGUGGCUAAUACCGCAGAUGUCAUUCGUUCGGUCGGAUGACUGAACCUCCGGGGUUCGAGGAGGGGCCCGCGGCCCAUUAGCUUGUUGGUGAGGUAACGGCUCACCAAGGCUGCGAUGGGUAGCUGGUCUGAGAGGACGAUCAGCCACACUGGGACUGAGACACGGCCCAGACUCCUACGGGAGGCAGCAGUGGGGAAUCUUGCGCAAUGCGCGAAAGCGUGACGCAGCAACGCCGCGUGGGGGAAGAAGGCCUUCGGGUUGUAAACCCCUUUCAGGAGGGACGAAGGUUGGGCGGUUAAUAGCCGACCUGACUGACGGUACCUCCAGAAGAAGCCCCGGCUAACUACGUGCCAGCAGCGGCGGUAAUUC
rnacentral:rRNA from 1 species